rnacentral:rRNA from 1 species
GUGGGGAAUAUUGGACAAUGGGCGCAAGCCUGAUCCAGCAAUGCCGCGUGGGUGAAGAAGGUCUUCGGAUCGUAAAGCCCUUUCGACAGGGACGAUGAUGACGGUACCUGUAGAAGAAGCCCCGGCUAACUUCGUGCCAGCAGCCCCGGUAAUACGAAGGGGGCUAGCGUUACUCGGAAUUACUGGGCGUAAAGGGCGCGUAGGCGGCUCUGUUAGUCAGGCGUGAAAUUCCUGGGCUUAACCUGGGGACUGCGCUUGAUACUGCAGGGCUUGAGGCCGAGAGAGGGUGGUGGAAUUCCCAGUGUAGAGGUGAAAUUCGUAGAUAUUGGGAAGAACACCGGUGGCGAAGGCGACCACCUGGCUCGGUUCUGACGCUGAGGCGCGACAGCGUGGGGAGCAAACAGGAUUAGAAACCCGGGUAGUCC